GAUGAAGAACGCAGUGAAAUGCGAUACGUAAUGUGAAUUGCAGAAUUCAGUGAAUCAUCGAGUCUUUGAACGCACAUUGCGCCCCCUGGUAUUCCGGGGGGCAUGCCUGUCCGAGCGUCAUUGCUGCCCUCAAGCACGGCUUGUGUGUUGGGCCUCCGUCCUCCUCCCGGGGGACGGGCCCGAAAGGCAGCGGCGGCACCGCGUCCGGUCCUCGAGCGUAUGGGGCUUCGUCACCCGCUCUUGUAGGCCCGGCCGGCGCUUGCCGACACAUCAAUCUUUUUUCCAGGUUGACCUCGGAUCAGGUAGGGAUACCCGCUGAACUUAAGCAUAUCAAAAGCGGAGGA
rnacentral:misc_RNA from 1 species